CGGAAUGUAGCUCAGCCCGGUAGAGCGUUCGGUUCGGGACCGAAAGGUCGUCCGCCUAAGGCGGAUCAUCCCGA
rnacentral:tRNA from 1 species